rnacentral:rRNA from 1 species
UCGGAAGGAAUAAAGCGUAACAAGGUCUCCGUAGGUGAACCUGCGGAGGGAUCAUUAC